UGGCUUUGGCAUCGAUGAAGAACGCAGCGAAAUGCGAUAAGUAAUGUGAAUUGCAGAAUUCAGCGAAUCAUCGAAUCUUUGAACGCACAUUGCACCUAUUAGUAUUCUAGUAGGUAUGCCUGUCCGAGCGUCAUUUCAACCCUCAGAGCGGCUCCGGCCGUCCUGGUGUUGGGGCUCCCCCGGCGGAGACGCCGCGGGCCCCGAAAGUCAUCGGCGGUGCCUGCCAGCACUCCGGGCGCAGUAAAAAAUCUCGCCUUGGACGUCUGGCGGCGCCUGCCGCUAAACCAGCUGCGCCGAGAGGCGCUGCAUACCCACAGGUUGACCUCGGAUCAGGUAGGAAUACCCGCUGA
rnacentral:misc_RNA from 1 species